rnacentral:rRNA from 1 species
UACGAAGGGGGCUAGGCGUUGCUCGGAAUCACUGGGCGUAAAGCGCACGUAGGCGGCUUUGUAAGUUAGAGGUGAAAAGCCCGGGGCUCAACUCCGGAACUUGGCCUUUAAGACUGCAUUCGCUAGAAUUGUGGAGAGGUAAGUGGAAUUCCGAGUGUAGAGGGUGAAAUUCGUAGAUAUUCGGAAGAACACCAGUGGCGA